rnacentral:tmRNA from 1 species
GGGGUCGAUUUGGUUUAGACAGCAAGACCAAUUGAAUGUUAAGCACGCCGAGCGCUGAGUUAUGGCUCGUAAAUCUCGUGAUUCAUCUUUUUUAAACGGCGAGAAUAACUACGCCAUGGCUGCGUAAUCCGAAGUGAAGUAGGAUACGCUUAAUCACUUGCGAGGCAGGUGACCAUGAUGUCUCUUGAAGGCCUUGAUUUGCGGCGUUCAAUCCAGAGGCACCGGAAAGUAAAUCUAGUAGUAGGUUUGUUCCGCACUUACUGCGAAACUUAAGGAACUAAGCUUUAGGUAGAUUGUUUGCUAUCGGCCUAAAGUCGAAAAUUUAAAGCAAACUAAGCGUGUAGAAAUUCAUUGAAUUGCUUGUUUGGACGGGAGUUCGAGUCUCCCCGACUCCACUA